rnacentral:rRNA from 1 species
CUACGGGUCGCUGCAGUGAGGAAUAUUGCACAAUGGAGGAAACUCUGAUGCAGCAACGCCGCGUGGAGGAUGACGCAUUUCGGUGUGUAAACUCCUUUUAUAUGUCAAGAAAAUGACGGUAGCAUAUGAAUAAGCACCGGCUAACUCCGUGCCAGCAGCCGCGGUAAUACGGAGGGUGCAAGCGUUACUCGGAAUACUGGGCGUAAAGGACGCGUAGGCGGGAUAUCAAGUCAGGUGUGAAAUCCUACAGCUUAACUGUAGAACUGCACUUGAAACUGGUAAGCUAGAGUAUGGGAGGGGGGGAUGGAAUUAGAGGUGUAGGGGUAAAAUCCGUAGAGAUCACUAGGAAUACCGAAAGCGAAGGCGAUCUCCUGGAAGAUAACUGACGCUAAGGUGUGAAAGCGUGGGGAGCAAACAGGAUUAGAUACCCGCGUAGUC